CAUGGCAUUGUGAUGAGGACAAAUGCUUUGAGGAGACAAGAAAUCUGAAAUUUUCCUUUGUGUACUGAACUCUGAAGAUACAAAAGCCAUCAAAUUGGAAGUGUUUUUCUCUGUGGUUUUCCACAUGGAGAGCAACUGUCGCACUUAUUUUGAGGCUGACUUGGAUGCAGAUGAAGCAGCAUGAGGGAGUACUGAUCAGAGCCAAUUACAACUUGACUGACCAGCUUUGGCAAUCAGACCGGUCUGGCAACUUCAAAUACCUAGCAGAACUCGCUCUGUCCUCGCAAGGUGAGCUGCGCCUCUGGUUUUGAGGUCCUCAACCUGUGGUCCCAGAGUCAGACCAUAGCCAGUGCUCCCUGUGGUGCCUGAGCCGUCUGUGCAAAGAAUGGCUUGAUCCCCCCCCCCCCCCGCCAACCUCCCACAGGAUGAAGAGGGCAGUUGGCUGGUAGGCAUCGAUGGGAUCUGCAUGGAUGUGACUGUUGCUCCUGAUAAUGCUACAUGAAAGUGAAGAAGAGCUGCU